GGCGCCAUGGCUUUGUUGGUUAAAGCGCCUGUCUAGUAAACAGGGGAUCCUGCGUUCGAAUCUCAGUGGUGCCU
rnacentral:tRNA from 1 species